rnacentral:lncRNA from 1 species
GAGAGAAAGAGAGAGAGAGAGAGAGAGAGAGAGAGAGAGAGAGAGAGAGAGAGAGAGAGAGAACAAGACGCUGCUCUUGCGCAGCUUCCUUAGCCGUGUUGCACAGACGGACGAUGUGACGGUCCAGGAAUCCGGGGGCCUGGAUUCUGAUGUCACCACACAAAAACCUUUUUAAAACACUUUUGAAAACCUGUAUUUUUUUUAAAGAUAAUGAAAAUCAAAGAAUUUAAAAACUGAAACUUAAAUAGAAGAUUUGAAAGAGACCAUUUUAACCCCUUAAAAACAGGAUCGCAUGCAGGUUACAAUAUUGAAGUUAGAAUCCACCACUAUUCUUAAAUAAUGUCUCUUACAUAAUCAGUUCAUCUUCGAUGAGAAGAAUCACUGUCCAUCUGAUACAACUAUAACAACUGAAUCUUCAAUACACAAAUUCUAUCUAUAACCAACCUUAUCAAUCUCCCUGAAUACUCCUUGACCACUGGAUCCUCAACUCUGACUCCCCGCUUAGCCUUAGCCUUACUCACGGUCUCAAUCAGGUAGCUCAUCUUUAAGCCUUUCUGAAAUGGUUAGAAAGGAAAGCAAGAGUGAGCAACAAUGCUCAGCAAGUAGUAAUAAACAAGACAAUUCCGAAUGAGAUAACAGAAAUUCACAAGCUCAAGAUACUAUAAGAAGAGAUUCGAUAUGAAUUUAAGAUCAGGGUAUUGUAUAAAAUGAUUCACAAUACCUUGUAGCCAUGGAAACCAAGUAAUUCAUUCUUUCAAGAGAAUUAUUGAAUUGGACUAUCACAUUUUUAGUUAAAACCAAGGUUAGGAUGCUGAUUAGUCAUACCUAACCCCGAGCAGGCCCCGCCAUGCUCUAUCACUGGAUCCAAGGCACUCAUUGGCCUAACAUGACCACUGAUGUGCUCAAAAUGAUUACCUUUUAAAAUCGCAAGCGCACGAUCAAACCGUUUUAAUAUUUAUGAUUCGAUCCACAGAGAUUAAAAUUAUUUUCGGUAAACUUUACUUAUUAAUCUAAGCAAAUUAGAACAAUUAAAGUCGUGAAAAAGGAGUUUUUCUAAAUUAAUUCUAAAAUUAUGAAUGUGAGAAAAUUUGUGAUUAAGUUUUGAAAUCUUAACUUAUCCGAAUAUUACCAACUGGCAUUACCAAAUCAAAUGAAUUCAUUACAUUUACUACGAUUAAGACUUAAGCUGAUUAACAAAAUAAAUGCCAUCACCAAAAGUCAAAAGAAAUGAUGCAUAAACAUAUUACAGUAAGGGCUUGGCUAACCUGUGCCCUCAGGGCACAGGUUAAGAGCAUUUAUUAUUAUUAAGUUUUUGUAUAUACUGGAGUACAACCAGACAGGCAUUAACUACUACGUAGUCAGUAAAUUCAAAUGCUCAUGUUUAUAAAAGUAAAUUUCAUAUUUUGUUUAUUUAUGUAUUUUAUUAUAAUUCUAAUCAUUUAUAAUUUUUAAUAAUAUUAAAUAAUAGAAAGUCAUAAAAUUAUUAUUCUCAAAAUUGGCUGUUUUUAAUUAGAAGGCUUAUUUUAGUUUGGAAAUUAGUGUGUACAUAGGGGGGCCUCAUUAUUAUUUGUGGGAUGAAAUUAAAUUAAAAAUUGUUAUUUAAAAUAUGACAAAAAUAUUAUUCUAUAUUCUCACAUUUUUUUGAAAUAAAAUAUUAUUUUAUUAUAAAUAUAAAUUUGAAAUAUAAAUUAACAAUAAAUGUAGAGUUAAUAUUCCAAUAAAUUUUGAAUGAUUUUAUGUGGAAUGACAUUAAUCAUGGCUUAUCCUGUGCCCUUGGGGCACAGGUUAGCCAUUCCGUUACAGUAAACCCAGCCAAGCAAAUUACAGGACUCGCAACUCAUAUAAAGACUUGUACACUCGACGAAAACGAACCAGUUAUACUAAACCGAAAAUAACAAUUAACCAACCUAUAUUCAACUAGACUAAACGCAGCAUAGACACAAGUAAAAACAGCAAAAUUAGCGACUCAGAACUCAGACUCGAUAACUCGGCAUUAACCAAAAACAAGAAACUCAGCAGAGAAAUGGACUUAAACAAAAAAAACUCUAGCUCACAACAACUCAGCCAAUACUAACAAAAUACAGUAGCUAACUCAGUAAAUGGUAAACGGUGGUGGAGACUCAGAAACACGAAACAGAGGAAACGAAAUAGACAGCAAUGACUCGGUAACAGACUCGCUACAAAGACUCGGUGAAACUCAGAAACAACUCGGACAAAAGGACUAAAACUCAGCAAAUCAGAACUAAUAGCCAACAGAAAACCGAACAAACAAGAUACCCAGCUAUUCUUAACUAAACAGACUCGGCACUUAAACUCGGAACAGACAUAUGAAACGGACUGACUCGAUUGACAUGAACUCAGCAACAAAACUAAAUCAGACUCGACGAAAAGCAAACUCAGAAACAGAUUGACUCGCAGCUUCUAUGACUCAAGACGCAAAGCUGAUACAAAACUUAACUACAACACAAAACCCAGCUCAGUGCAGGACAGUAGACUUGACAAAAAGAAAUCGACACAAGACAAACUCAAAAACAGAACAAGAAAAACACUCGAAAAUCAGCCAUGGAAUACAUUAAAAUCACCACCAAACUAAUUCAGACGCGACUUGGAGACUCGGAAACAACCCAACACAAAACCCAGCAGACAACAACUCGAUAAACUCAGUGACGACAGAGCAAAAACAAAGCAAGAACGCAGAGUUCGAAAUCGCAGCAAAUCACGGAAAAUAAAUACAAACAAAAUAGAUUAGAAAGUGAAAGGGGAGGGGGUCGAUGGUUCUGUUUAUAAACCAAUAAAAACAAGGACUCAGUCAGGGACGAAGCCAGCAAACAUCCACAAGGGGGGUCAAAAAAAUUUCUUCG